UGUAGCUCAGUGGCAGAGCAUGUGCUUAGCAUGCAUAAGGCCCUAGGUUUAAUCUCUAGCA
rnacentral:tRNA from 1 species